rnacentral:lncRNA from 1 species
UUUAUGUAAAGAUCAUAGGGCCACUACAUGAUUCUGGUCUGACUCCAAUUGGUCCCUCUCUUUUAAUACAAUGUGUCCCUUUGCAGCUUUCUAAUGCAUUCUGCUCUGUUAAGCACUCGACUUAUCCAUCUCAAUCAUCUCUAAAAUCCAUCUUAAAUAAACAAACAAAAACACUGUUUUUAUUUUAAUGCAAUCAUCAUGGAAUUUAGGACUUAGGACCCAAAUGUUCAUGUAAUCUAAAUGCUCUUUUCUGCCCUUUUUUUUCUUUCAUUCUCACCAAUCACAGAUCUACUGUUUCACUGCUUCACAGACUCAAUUCCA